AGGACGAACGCUGGCGGCGUGCUUAACACAUGCAAGUCGAACGAGACCCUCUCUUCGGAGGGGUGUUCUAGUGGCGAACGGGUGAGUAACACGUGGGCAACCUGCCCUCAGCUCUGGGAUAACUCCAAGAAAUUGGGGCUAAUACCGGAUAUGACUGCUGACCGCAUGGUCUGGUGGUGGAAAGAUUUAUCGGCUGGGGAUGGGCCCGCGGCCUAUCAGCUUGUUGGUGGGGUAGUGGCCUACCAAGGCGACGACGGGUAGCCGGCCUGAGAGGGUGACCGGCCACACUGGGACUGAGACACGGCCCAGACUCCUACGGGAGGCAGCAGUGGGGAAUAUUGCGCAAUGGGCGGAAGCCUGACGCAGCGACGCCGCGUGGGGGAUGACGGCCUUCGGGUUGUAACCGUCUUUAGUAGGGUAAGAAGCGAAAGUGACGGUACCUGCAGAAAAGCACCGGCUAACUACGUGCCAGCAGCCGC
rnacentral:rRNA from 1 species